UACGAAGGGGGCUAGCGUUUUUCGGAAUCACUGGGCGUAAAGCGCACGUAGGCGGGCCGUUAAGUCGGAGGUGAAAGCCCUGGGCUCAACCCAGGAAUUGCCUUCGAUACUGACGGUCUUGAGUGUGGGAGAGGUUGGUGGAACUCCGAGUGUAGAGGUGAAAUUCGUAGAUAUUCGGAAGAACACCAGUGGCGAAGGCGGCCAACUGGCCCAUUACUGACGCUGAGGUGCGAAAGCGUGGGGAGCAAACAGG
rnacentral:rRNA from 1 species